rnacentral:rRNA from 1 species
UACGGAGGGUGCAAGCGUUAAUCGGAAUUACUGGGCGUAAAGCGCACGCAGGUGGCUGAGAAAGUCGAUUGUGAAAGCCCUGGGCUUAACCUGGGAAUUGCAGUCGAAACUACUCGGCUAGAGUAUGGGAGAGGACAGUGGAAUUCCCGGUGUAGCGGUGAAAUGCGUAGAGAUCGGGAGGAACACCAGUGGCGAAGGCGGCUACCUGGACCAGCACUGACACUGAGGCACGAAAGCGUGGGGAGCAAACAGG